GAUGAACGCUGGCGGCGUGCCUAAUACAUGCAAGUCGAACGCACAGCGAAAGGUGCUUGCACCUUUCAAGUGAGUGGCGAACGGGUGAGUAACACGUGGACAACCUGCCUCAAGGCUGGGGAUAACAUUUGGAAACAGAUGCUAAUACCGAAUAAAACUCAGUGUCGCAUGACACAAAGCUAAAAGGCGCUUUGGCGUCACCUAGAGAUGGAUCCGCGGUGCAUUAGUUAGUUGGUGGGGUAAAGGCCUACCAAGACAAUGAUGCAUAGCCGAGUUGAGAGACUGAGCAGCCACAUUGGGACUGAGACACGGCCCAAACUCCUACGGGAGGCUGCAGUAGGGAAUCUUCCACAAUGGGCGAAAGCCUAAUGGAGCAACGCCGCGUGUGUGAUGAAGGCUUUCGGGUCGUAAAGCACUGUUGUAUGGGAAGAACAGCUAGAAUAGGGAAUGAUUUUAGUUUGACGGUACCAUACCAGAAAGGGACGGCUAAAUACGUGCCAGCCGCCGCUGUAA
rnacentral:rRNA from 1 species